GGAAUUUUCCGCAAUGGGCGCAAGCCUGACGGAGCAACGCCGCGUGAAGGAAGAAGGCCUUCGGGUCGUAAACUUUUGUCUUUGGGGACGAUAAUGACGGUACCCGAGGAGGAAGCCCCGGCUAACUACGUGCCAGCAGCCGCGGUAAUACGUAGGGGGCGAGCGUUGUCCGGAAUUACUGGGCGUAAAGGGCGUGUAGGCGGCCUAAUAAGUCAGGUGUGAAAUUCCAAGGCUUAACCUUGGCGCUGCACUUGAAACUGUUGGGCUUGAGGUCAGGAGAGGGAAGCGGAAUUCCCAGUGUAGCGGUGAAAUGCGUAGAUAUUGGGAGGAACACCAGUGGCGAAGGCGGCUUCCUGGACUGCACCUGACGCUGAGGCGCGAAAGCUAGGGUAGCGAA
rnacentral:rRNA from 1 species